UGGCACUGUUCGUAACCUGUUAACAGCAUCUUCCUGCUAAUGGAAGUUCCAUUCCAGUGCUACAUGAAACCCCAGGAUAAUAAAAGGCUGGUUGAUCCUCUGCCUGUGCCCAUUAUUUUGGGGGACAUCA
rnacentral:snoRNA from 1 species